rnacentral:rRNA from 1 species
AGAUUGAACGCUGGCGGCAUGCCUUACACAUGCAAGUCGAGCGGCAGCGCGGGGGCAACCCUGGCGGCGAGCGGCGAACGGGUGAGUAAUGCAUCGGAACGUGUCCUCUUGUGGGGGAUAACCAGUCGAAAGACUGGCUAAUACCGCAUGAGAUCGAGAGAUGAAAAGCAAGGGACCGCAAGGCCUUGCGCGAGAGGAGCGGCCGAUGCCGGAUUAGCUAGUUGGUGGGGUAACGGCCUACCAAGGCGACGAUCCGUAGCUGGUCUGAGAGGACGACCAGCCACACUGGGACUGAGACACGGCCAGACUCCUACGGGAGGCAGCAGUGGGAAUUUUUGGACGAAGUGGGGGCAACCCGUGAUCCAGCCAUGCCGCGUGUGUGAAGAAGGCGUUCGGUGUAAGCACGUUUCGGACGAACGAAUCGACGCGGUUAACUAGGUCCGCGUGGAGUGACGGUAACCGUAAGGAACGAAG